rnacentral:lncRNA from 1 species
UCUCCAAUAAAAAAAUCUAUGACAUAAAUUUAACAUGUACAUGCAUAAAUCAUAAGAAUAAGAAAAUGGCAUCACCACCACCACCAUCAUCGUCGCCUCCCUCUGCCUCCCAUUCCCAGAACUCAGCGACUCCACUAAUGCCCCCAAAGGUCAUCCAUCUUUCCUUUCAUCUCUGUGCUUGCUUUUUUAUGUUAUUUUCACUGAAUAUACUGAUCCCUUUGGGGUUUUUGCUUCACAUUAGGUGGAAGAUGGUGGUGCGAAGAAUGCUGUUCCGAUGUCCUCCAGGAAAAUCCUGACUUGGCCCAGCUCCAGUGGGUUCUCUCUUUCUAUGGAGGUGGGAGUUUGAUUUCGUUUUCCUUCGUUAGGCAUGCGGUUUUUCUUCAAGUCAAAUUCUGCAUCCGUUCCAGAUCAAUUUCUAUUUAAAUUCUUUCUUUCCUGUGCAUUUAUGUUGCAAUUAGUUUCUGAGUGCUUCCUUUUGUUGAUAAGGAAGAAAUUGUUAAACAAAUUGAAGCCCUACCCUUCAACCUUAUUUUGUUUGUUUUCUUUUAUACAUACUCAGCUUGAUUCAUGAUGGAUUGUUGAGAAUUGUUGGGAAAAAUAAAACAUUUUAAAAUCGUCUGCUAUGUUUAGUGGUGACAGUCAGGCUUUAAAAUGGAUUCCUCUAAGUGAGUUUUGCUUUGGUUACCUUUUUUUGUGCUACUUUUGCUGAUUGGGACUGUAGAAAUUGAAGUUCUGAUAUUACUAUUAUCUUAAUAAUAAGGGGAAAUAUUUAGACCAUGUUGUGGAAGCAUUUAUUUAUUUACUUAUUUAUCUUCAUCUAAGUUUUUUUUUAAAAAAAAAUUUCUGUGGCAUUUUUUUAUUAUAUGGUUUUUGCUUUGCAAGUCAAGUUUAUUCUUGGAUGAGUUAGGUUGUGUUUACUUUUAGGAUUUGUUUUCUAUAAUAAGGUUCAUGUAAGCGUGUCAGAACUGUUUUUGAGGGUUCAUUUACUUAUAACAUUCCUUUCUACUCGUGGCUUUUGAGCAUUAAUAGAAUCAGCUUUAAGCUCUUCAAGAUAUAUUAAGAACUUCAGAGUUCACGCAUGAAUUUUUUGCAUGAUUUAGUAUCUUCAUAUGGAGUUACACUUCCAUUGAAAUUAAGGGACUUUUCCCCUAGAGCUUUUGAUAUUUUCUGUUGCAACUUAGUUAUGAUCUUUGAUUCUAGAAUCUAGAUUCUUUGAUCCUCCAUAUAAAUUUUAGAUUUGGUUCUUCUCUUUUGAGAUGUGCAUACUCCCUGGCACCCAUAUAACGAAUUGGUAAUGGCAUCUUUUUUAUCAGUUCCUAUUUCUAAGCAUGUACUUAUUGGUUAUUUCUUUCUUUCUUCUUUUUAUUCACACGUUCGAGGGAUGACCUCAGUUGAGUUUGCUAAAGGUUCUUAAAUACUAAAUCUGUUGCUUUUUUUAAGAAAGAAAAAUUAUGUUGAUGGUGUUUGAAUAUCACACAGACCAAUGCUAAGGAUAAACUUCUCCUCUGCAGUUAUCAACUAUUUUAGUCUAGAAAUAAACAAAGUUGAGCAGUAACUAUUUUUGCCAGUUUCUAGAUUAUAGGUGGCAAUAUAAGAGAUGUCAUGCUUGACAGUGUGGAAAACAUGGAGGAGUACAGCAAGUAUGAAACUGACUACACACAUCGUUUGAUAGCAAAAUACUUUUCUAAGAACCCUUAUGGCAGUAAACAGUUACUCAUAACUUAUUUUGUGUUCUCUGCAACUUACAUUUUAAAUAAUGCAUUUGUUCCAAUAUAAUUUGAUUCUAAAUCAUGUAUAUUUACCUGUUCAUUAUAGUUGCAUUAUUCUGGUUAAGUAUUCAUUUCUUGUGGCUAUCGUGAUAAUUUUCCUUUAUGUUUUACUUAGUUUAUAUCCAAAUUUAAUGUAAGGUGCAUGUUUGAAUUUGAUUAGGAUAGAUUGUUGCUUAUGUAGCAACUAUGAGGUUAGUUAUAUUGUGAUAGUUUAUUGAAGUAUCAUUAUACGCUAAUUCUAUCAAGUCCUACUUAUGAUUGUUUGGUGGAACCUUGACCUUAUCGUUAUGAUAUUAUGAUUGUGAAUAAUCCUCCCGAUAUCCAUCGUUUAUUUCUGUUCUUUCAGGAGAAAUAUUUGAAGAGAAAAUGAGAGUGGGUGAGGAGACUAUACUGUCAAGCCGGUAGAGUCCCUUUUUUUUGUGUGCAAAAGUGAUCGUACAGUCCUACCACUUGGUAUCACAAAUGCUGUAACCUAAACUAAUUUUGUUUUGCCAUCUGCCUAGGUGGUCUUGUACUCAAUCAUAUGCUGACCCAGUGAAGGGAUUUGAAGAACAGAACAAUGCUGGUUCAACAUCAGAAGCUUGAUUAGCAUCUCAAAAUGGGAAGCACCCACCAAGGAGUGGCUGAUGAAGCAGCUUCUUGCCUCUCACAUGCGGUAUUCUAUGUAGCUAGACAUGAUUGGUGUAGACAAAUUAAAGAUAAAAUUAACAAAAAGAUAUUUCUAGUUUCUCAUCCAUCUGCCUAUGUUUCAAAUGCUUGCUUUAGGAACUUGCAGAAUUAUUCUAUAUAUGUUUGCAAUUAUGGGCUUGUACAGAUGAGUACAAAUGCGUCUUUCUAGGGUCUCCUGUCCUAUGGGGUUGGUCAUUGUAACUCAGUGAGUGGAUACCUGGAGCAAUGACCAAGAACAUUAUCUUUUAUCUUAGAACUUUGACAAGGCUGAAGGGUUUCAAAAAUUGAAUGAUCCUACAAUUUGGCUGCAAGGCUUCCCUGAAAACAAAAGGACACUUAAUACUCAUGAUACACCAGUGAUUUGACAUGCGAAGCCCUUUGUCUUUUUUGUUCCUAGCAACUAAUGGACAAAAGGGCAUUAGCAACAUAUUAAGAAUGUACACUGCAGUGUUAGGUUUGCAAUUAGGGUUGGCAUUAUUGAUUUGAAGAAUUAUUAGUUGGACAGAGACUAUAUUGUGAGACUCCACCCUUGAGAAAUGAUUUUGCUAUUGGUUGUUGUUAUCAAAUGUAGAUUUCAGUUAAAGAGACCUCCUUCUCCCACCAACCAUCUUAAAUACAUUUUAUAAACAAAAAUAUUCCGUGUCCAAUAUGGGAAGGGACCAUAAAUUAACAAAGCCCCACGAAUCUCCAGCAAUAAAAUAGAGCUUUUGUUGGUCAUCCAGUGGUUGCAGGCUGUUAUCUAUGUAUGUUUUCAGCUUCUGCUGUGUUAUUGCUUUUGUAACUCCUACUAAUCUAACUCUCUACUUUGUUGCUCUUUUUUUUUUUUUUUUUUUUCCCAAUACAUUUGAUUUAAGUUGAAGCGAGACCUUUCAUAUAAUUCUGCGAUAUAUUAUCCAACAGGCCAAUGCAGACUGUGGUCAUAUGCACUCAUUUUACUUGAGUAUCUAAUUUUCUGUUUGUUUCAGGGGAAUUGUUAACGAGCAAGGCAUUAGUCUCUAAAUAUAACAUAUACUUGAGCACCACUGCAAAGUAAAUUCAGCUCUACAAGUACCUAGCUUUAUACACUCUAUUCAAUCCCCUGAAGACAUUGAUAAUAGAUUGAUCAAUUUGAAGCUUCUCCUCGAGGACGAUUGGUGUUGCAUAUGCUUUCUUCCACAUUUCUAAUAGGUGUCAACAG